AUACGUAGGUGACAAGCGUUAUCCGGAUUUACUGGGCGUAAAGGGCGUGUAGGCGGUCUUGCAAGUCAGAAGUGAAAUUCCUGAGCUCAACUCGGGCGCUGCUUCUGAAACUGCAGGACUUGAGUGCUGGAGGGGAUAGCGGAAUUCCUAGUGGAGCGGUAAAAUGCGCAGAUAUUAGGAAGAACACCGGUGGCGAAGGCGGCUAGCUGGACAAUAACGGACGAUAAGGCGCGAAAGCGUGAAGAGCAAACAAGAUGAGAUAACCUGGUACUCCACGACGUAAUCGAUGAAUACUAGAAGUAGGGUGUAUCGACUCCCUCUGUGCCGCAGUUAACACAAUAAGUAUUCCGCCUGGGGAGUACGGCCGCAAGGUUGAAACUCAAAGGAAUUGACGGGG
rnacentral:rRNA from 1 species